UACGUAGGUGGCAAGCGUUUGUUCGGAAUUAUUGGGCGUAAAGGGCGCGUAGGCGGUUUGUUAAGUCGGUCGUGAAAGCCCGGGGCUCAACCCCGGAGGGUCGACCGAUACUGGCAGACUAGAGUACAGAAGAGGUAACUGGAAUUCCCGGAGUAGGGGUGAAAUCCGUUGAUAUCGUCGGGAACACCAAAAGCGAAGGCAGUUUGCUGGGACGACCCUGACACUGAGAGACGAAAGCGUGGGGAGCAAAAAGG
rnacentral:rRNA from 1 species